rnacentral:rRNA from 1 species
GAUUAGUGGCGAACGGGCGAGUAACACGUGAGUAACCUGUCCUUUUCUUUGGGAUAACGGCUGGAAACGGCUGCUAAUACUGGAUAUUCAGGCUGCAUCGCAUGGUGUGGUUUGGAAAGGUUUUUUCUGGGAUUGGGUGGGCUCGCGGCCUAUCAGCUUGUUGGUGGGGUGAUGGCUUACCAAGGCUUUGACGGGUAGCCGGCCUGAGAGGGUGGUCGGUCGCACUGGGACUGAGAUACGGCCCAGACUCC